UCAGAGGAGGACGGGCCAUGGAAGGAGUUGGGACUUUCCCCCUUUUGGCCCUUGGCACCUUCAUCAGAACUUAGCCUGGGACUCCUUUCUCCGCUGACCUGGGGCAGCCAGUCUUGCAACCAAAGCCCUCUGCUGAAACGCUCCGUGCAGCCCUGUCUACUGAGGGCUCAGGAUCUUCACCUUGCUACUUGACCAGUCCUGGGACUCCAUCCUCAGCUCACUACAGGCAACACCCUUCAAAGCAAGAUCCUUGCUUCAAUGGGACCUCAGAUUUGGACAUUCAGGUUUCUGGGGCUCCACUAUGCACAGCUGGGGCUUCCCCCACCAGACCAAGAUUCUCCCUUCCCUGAGACCCUCCAGGCCGAAAUGACAGUCACCUCAACCUGACAGCUCUUCCUGAGCUUCCCAAGUCACAGGAGAGGUUGGAUUUGGGAAGCAAUGCUAAGCAGUGGAAUGGACAUCGACAUAGAGAGAUCAGCUCCACACUUAUACUCUGCCACUCAACUUCCCCAUGUGACUUGAGGAUCACUCUAACUCCAAAACAUAGCAAGCUCGCGGAACAUCAGGGUUCAUGCAAAGUAUUCCAAGGAGCCCCUUGAAGCAACAGAAUGGAUUGCUCUUCUAUGGUGGAAUGGCACCCUGGAUGAUUAAAACCGUAGCAGCAAACAAAACCUCCAUCAAGUAAGAAUUCAGAGUGUGAGAUAUCACGCACAGCCACGCGUGGAUCUUUAUAUACGUGUCAAUGUGUUUGAUUGUAUUUUUGCUUUCAAAGUAUGUAUUGAGCAUUUCUUCUAGGUCCUCAGUAACAUCUUUUUAAAAAAAAAAUAAAUGCUUAGGGAAUUGUUUUAUAUUAAACUCGCUUCCAUUGUUAUCAACUUGGAGAGUGUCCCUCAUACAUGGAGCUCUCUCACAGGAUUGACUUUUCAUAUUAGGAGUGUAAAUAAAAGUUGUUCCUUGGUUUGUGUAUUACAGAUAUUCCUGAAAACAGAGUCAAGUUAUAUUUCUAAAGUACUAGCGUCUGCUUAAAGAAAUGACAAGGUGAAGUCUUUCACAAAGUAAGCAUUCAAUGUAUGAUUUCUCUGCUAUGUAAAUCUGGUUGUUCAUACAGUUUCUAUGACAUAAUUGGCCACGAC
rnacentral:lncRNA from 1 species